ACGGAGGGUGCAAGCGUUAUCCGGAUUCACUGGGCGUAAAGCGCAUGUAGGCGGUUCGCUAAGUCCGCUGUUAAAGCCCCCGGCUCAACUGGGGGAGGUCAGUGGAGACUAUCGGACUUGAGGGCAACAGAGGCACAUGGAACUCCCGGUGUAGCGGUGGAAUGCGUAGAGAUCGGGAAGAACACCAGUGGCGAAGGCGAUGUGCUGGGUUGCGACUGACGCUGAGAUGCGAAAGUGUGGGGAGCAAACGGGA
rnacentral:rRNA from 1 species